UUUUUGUUAACUUCAUAAGCUCGUAUAAUCGCAGGGAUAUGGCCUGCAAGUUUCUACCAAACCCCCGUAAAUGGGUUUGACUACGAGUGACGCAAACAUUUCC
rnacentral:ncRNA from 2 species